GAAGACAUACAAAAACAAGGCCUCUGAGGUAGGCACUAUUGAGACAGUCAGGUGGGAAGGGCUCCUUGGCAAAACUCCAACCAGCCUGUACACUGGGAGGAAUGUGCACUGGGAUGGAGCCACAGAAGUUUGUGUCAUUUGCAGCAGGGAGGACCCUGGUCCCUCUUCUUCCGUGAGGAACCUAGAAUUCAAUCUGUGAGGAACUUACUGAAAGACCCAUCAAUUAUUCAAUAGAAAGCAUCAAAGGACAAUUUACACCCUAAGACUGAACCCCUGACCUCAAAAUCUCUCCCUUGCUAUGUUCACCAACCCUCAACAGAAAUAUUAGGAUUCUUACCUGAUCCUAGCCAAGCCCCCUCCCUCAUCUCCCAUUAAAAGGUCCACCUUCAACCAAACUUCAGUCUCAAUAAAUAUCUGGACAUCGUCCUUCCAACUCUGGGAAGCUGCUAAGACUCUGUCCUUACUGCAGAAGAAAAAAUAGCCUUGCAGCCUGGUCUUCUCAACAGGUUGUUCUGGAGAUGUUUUGGGGAGACUGCAUUAAACACAGCCUUCGCACCAUUGAAUAAACUCAGACACAAGCCAAUGCAUAAAAGUAAUCUAUGCUUCAGGUCACAGAAGCUUCAAGGGGAAAAAAACAGAAUGCUCUAGGGCCACUGUUCAUGAACUCAUUUGAAAACAUCCUGGAAAAAUUUUCCCAAACACAUGGAAAGAAAGAGAGGAAAAAAGAAGAUAUCUGAAUAACGUGGACUAGAAUAAAGAGCUGCCAGGAGCUGUUUAUUUAAAAACAGUACUUUCUUCUCUGGCUGAGUCCCUGGUAUUCUCUGCUGCAAUCUGUAGCUGGAGAAUUUUGAAGAAUGCAAUUAAAUUCAAAUGUUUUGAUGAGUAAUA
rnacentral:sRNA from 1 species